rnacentral:miRNA from 4 species
CAUCUGGGCAACUGAUUGAACU